rnacentral:tRNA from 12 species
UUCAGCGUGGCGGAAUUGGUAGACGCACCGCACUGUUGAUGCGACGCCGCAAGGCUUGUAGGUUCGACUCCUACCGCUGGAGCCA